rnacentral:rRNA from 1 species
GCUUAGCCCUAAACACAGAUAUAUCAACACAAUAUUAUCCGCCAGAGAACUACAAGCGAAAAGCUAGAAACUCCAAGGACUUGGCGGUGCUUCAAACCAACCUAGAGGAGCCUGUCCUAUAAUCGAUACUCCACGCUUAACCUUACCCCCUCUGGCCAACCAGCCUAUAUACCGCCGUCGUCAGCCUACCUUAUGAAAGAGUAAAAGUAAGCAAAACAGUUAAUAACUAACACGUCAGGUCAAGGUGUAGCAUAUGGGGGGGACAGAGAUGGGCUACAUUUUCAAAACGAACACACAAAUAGCACACUGAAACACGUGCUUGAAGGUGGAUUUAGUAGUAAGACGGGUAAGAAAAACUGUCUGAAACCCGCUCUGAAGCGCGC